rnacentral:rRNA from 1 species
UUCUUUCCUCCCGAGUGCUUGCACUCAAUUGGAAAGAGGAGUGGCGGACGGGUGAGUAACACGUGGGUAACCUACCCAUCAGAGGGGGAUAACACUUGGAAACAGGUGCUAAUAUCGCAUAACAGUUUAUGCCGCAUGGCAUAAGAGUGAAAGGCGCUUUCGGGUGUCGCUGAUGGAUGGACCCGCGGUGCAUUAGCUAGUUGGUGAGGUAACGGCUCACCAAGGCCACGAUGCAUAGCCGACCUGAGAGGGUGAUCGGCCACACUGGGACUGAGACACGGCCCAGACUCCUACGGGAGGCAGCAGUAGGGAAUCUUCGGCAAUGGACGAAAGUCUGACCGAGCAACGCCGCGUGAGUGAAGAAGGUUUUCGGAUCGUAAAACUCUGUUGUUAGAGAAGAACAAGGACGUUAGUAACUGAACGUCCCCUGACGGUAUCUAACCAGAAAGCCACGGCUAACUACGUGCCAGCAGCCGCGGUAAUACGUAGGUGGCAAGCGUUGUCCGGAUUUAUUGGGCGUAAAGCGAGCGCAGGCGGUUUCUUAAGUCUGAUGUGAAAGCCCCCGGUCAACCGGGGAGGGUCCUUGGAAACUGGGAGACUUGACGUGCAGACAGAGGAGCAGUGGAAUUCCAUGUGUAGCCGGUGACAUGCGUAGAUCUAUGGAGGAACACCAGUGGCCGAAGGCGGCUCUCUGGUCUGUAACUGACGCUGAGGCUC